rnacentral:lncRNA from 1 species
UCCCGGUGGAAAAACCUGAAAGUAUGCUUUGAUGCGCCCAAGUUUUCCUGAAGCUUAGGGCUAGAGAAAAGGGAGAGUAAAUAACCUUAUCCCAAGAGGAAACUAAAAGGUGAUCGCUGUGAUUGGAGAAACGGAGGUUGGAUAUGCCGUCCUUGGGCGGGCUUGCGAGCUCUCUUCCAGCAGACUGCGGCACCGCCGUCAUGAUAUCGCUGUCGUUUGCUGAUUUAACAGAGAGGUAGAGGUUGCGAGAGCGUAUGGAGUGUGUGACUAGGGUUUCACAGAGAGUGGAGGGAGGGAGGGGGGGGAGAGAGUUUUGGAAAAAUGAAAGUCACAUGAAUGCUUCCAGAUUUUGAAUUCAAAUUGGGGCCAGAUUGGGAGUAAGGAGUACUGAUUGUUUUGAGGUUUUUAAAUUUUGGCAAAAGAAUUUUAUAGAGCCUAAAAAGCGGGGUAGGGCCUAACGUCUUUUCCGUUUUGCUGCACUACUGGUACUUCGGGAAGGAUUAGAGGAACUGAAGUACUCAAACGUGUCAAACACCAAAAUAAUUUUGUUAUUAGUUGGUCAUUGAAAAUUAGUCAAACAAGCUGCUUGACUUGAAGGUUUUGCAAUGUAAUCCUAACCUAACAUUUUGAAAAGAUUAGCAAAACAAACAUGGCCUUUUUAAAUUUUUUAAAAAGAUGAUCGACAAAAACCACAUUAAUAAUUCAAGUAGGCGUUUGGUCAUAUAUUUCAAAUAUUUUUCAUUUUAUUUGGAAUUUAUGAAGUUAAAGUUGAAGAUGGAGUAGUAUUUGGUUAUACUUUUUGCAAAGGAGAGAAAAGAGUACCUUAUUGAAAUUUAUGAAAAUGUAGUUGGAAAACAGGUAUAGAGCAUUUUUCCAAAUUUGGAAUAAAUUUGGAAUCUAACCCCAAGUUGGAUUUGAAAGUUUUAUAUGAUCUUGAAAUAAAGUGAAAGAAUAGCCGAAAAAAAGUAAUUUUGAAGAGAAGCAAAAGUAAAAAUAAUAUUGGAGAAGUAGAAAAAAUAACUUCUUUCUAUAAUUAUUUUUUUGAGAAAAAUAUAUUUAAAAGUCAUUUUUAAAAGUUUGGUCAACUAAAAAUUACUGCUUAGAAGUGUUUUUAAAAUUAAUUAACUAAAUACAAAUUAUAAUUUACCAAAAAUACUUUUUAAAAAAAUUAUUUCUCAAAAUAAGCUGACUUUUUCCGGCUUGACCAAACAAGUGAAUACAUUCAUGGGCAAACAGCUCCUAAGUUAGUCAUUUCAUGAGAUAUUGAAGUGUUUUAUGGAAUUUUGGAGGCUGGAGUCAUCUCUCUCGACUAAAGGUAGUAAUUGCAAAAAAAAUUAAAAGGAUAAAAAUAUAAAGACAUGUAAUUGAUGCAUUCUCAGUAGGAGUGGGUAUUAAAUCUGAAAAUUUAAAUUUCGAAUUGAACCGAAUUAAUUUGAUAUUUUGAAUCAAUUUAUUCGGUACUUGAUAUAAUUUGGUAUUAACUUUUUGAUAUUUUAAUACGAUCCUCGAUAUUGAGGUUUUAAUACUUUGAUAUAUUGAAAACCGAAAAUUUUAAAUAAGCCUAGGUAAUAAAACUAAACCCAAAUAAAAUAAGCCAAAGUCCAACCCUUAAGCCGUAGCCAGUAAAACUAAGCCAUCUCCAGUCGAACACCGAAAGUAAAAAUGUUCAUCUUUGACAUUACGAGUGGAAUAUAAUUUCCAUUGAAAGUGAUCCUGGAAUUUUUUACUUAGCUUUUGCUGAUGAAUUCUCUUUACAGUCUAUUAGAUUGGAGUAAAAAUUCAAAUUUGCUUACACAACAAAUCGAAGAACUUGGCUACAGUACUUUACGAAAGAAAUCAAAAUUUGUUAGCAAUCAUUCACCAUUUGAAGGUAUUAUUUCUUUGCUGUUAUUACUAAUAACGGUACUGAAAUCGUACAGAAAUUCUACCGAGCCAAGCAACAAUAAUCAUACCGAACUACUUUGACAUGAUAUUUGGUAUGCGUAAUUGAUAACCGAAUACCAAUGUACCGAUCCGUAAUUCUUAAAUACAAUAUCGAAGUACCGAACACUCACCUCUACUUCUCAACGUAUAUCUUCAAACUUUUACAGCAAGUAUGCCUUUUUCUUGAUUCAGCAGUCGCACAUCUAGAAAUUUGAAUUUCCGGGUGUUUAUCAUUUUUUUGACGAAAAGUUAAUAUACUAUACAUUAUAUGUGAGCACUUGAUUUUUGUCUUGCAUGAAUUACUCCUACAGAAUUCCCAAAAUUAGGAUUUUCUUUUAAUUGUUUGGUUUUAGGAAUUAUUGCAUAAUUUUUGUAUUUGUUUGCAUUUUGUGUGCACAUUUAAUUUAUUUAAUUCAUAAAAAAUAUAAAAAUAAGUUGUAUUUGCAUUUAGGAUCCUAUUUUAUAUUUUUAGGUUAAUUUAGUAAAUUAAUGCCACAAAAAUUUAAAAAAUUACAAAAAUAGUUCAUUUUGCAUUUUAACUUGUUAAUUUUAGAAUUUGUGGUAGUUUCCUUUUAAUUUGGGACUUAAUUAAUUUUUGAGAAGCAAUUAGUUUGUUAAUUUAAUUUUAGAAUUAAAUAAGGUUUUGUUUUUAAUUUGUAAUGAAAAAAAAAGAAGAGAAAAAGGAUUUUCUUAAUAAAAGACCUGUAUUUUGGGCCAACCCAAUCAAAAACUUGUCCAAAACCCAUCACUACCCGACCCAAAACCUAUAUUUUAACCCGGUCCAGCACGCUCCAUUUUAGCUAGAUUUGAUCUCGACCGUUGGAUCUCCCUAAUCAAACGGUCUAGAACUGAGAACUCAUUAAUAUUUAAAAGUUCAAUCGCCCCACCCCCCACCCCCAAACCGUCUCUCACAUAACCCCCAAAGACUCCGACCAAGCUCCGCCUUAAACCACCUUCCACCGCCUGCAAGAAAUCGCCCACGACGGCGGACGGCGGCCAAAUACACCCAAAUUUACACCAAAUAUUCUCCUCAAUCUCUUUUUCCCAAAUCUUCGACCGCCUUCCCUCAAAUCCGGCUAGAUUCACUCAAAUAUUCAAUUAAAAUUGGAAACCCUAGCACCGCUACAGUUUCUUUGGUGGCGGCGCCACCGCCAAUGAGCCCAAAUUAACACCCUAGUGACCCCCAAACCCCUCGAACAUCCACGGAACUCGUCGAAUAUCAUUUUUAAGUCAUAGCUUUAAAGUGUCAACGUCCAGAGUCGGGCCGAUUAGGACCAAAACGGACCUUAGUCGUGUGUUUUCAUCUGAGAACACACGAUCGAGGCCCCUUUCGAUCAGAAUCGUGAAUUCUUCAAAGAGCCCUUCAAGGUUUUUAAGUCGGUCCAUGACCACUUUAGGUAUCUCCAUUUACCUUAGGUUGUUAAUUUCUAUUGCUUUUUCUUUUUUACUUCUCUUCUUCUUCUUCUAUCUCUUUCUUUUUUAUGAUUUUUUUUGUUUUGUUUUUUUAUUUAUUUAUUUUUAUCCCUUCAAAAUGUCCAUCUCUGCAUGUAGUAGUUAGUGUCCUAUUUAAUUUUUAGUUCGUUUAAUUUCCAAAAAACUCAUUUUUGAAUCCAAGAGUGUUUUAUUCAUUGUUAGUGUGUUUUGGUUUUUCCGUAAUUAUCUGUUCAUACAUGAUUAGCUUUACAUUUUUCUUUAAUCAGUAAUCUUAGUGUGUUUACUUAGUUCACUAAUUUAAUAAUUCUAGUUAAUAGGUUGAGUAAUCUAGAAUUUAAUUGCUAAAAAAAUAUUUACAUUUUAGUUAGUAUUUCAGAAUCUUGAUUGGGGUAAUUGGUGGUUUGAGUCUUUCUGGCCCAUUAAGGAAAAAAAGGGGCAAGCCCAGAUGUGCAAUUGGACCAUUGGGUCAAAUUGACCCAUACCCAUUUGGUUUAUAAGGUAAAUUUUAGGGGCAACUAAGGGUAAAUUGGAUAGUCUACUUAGGGAAUCCUUUGUUAACUACCUUAUGAAGCUUCUUAGAAGCUCAAAAUGGCCUUACUUGAUCAACAAGUCAGUAAUUUAAGGACUGCUAAGCAAAAAAUAGAAAAAAUUUAAAAAGGGGCAAAAUGCAAAAAUUAAUUCAUUAGUGCUGCCCUACUUCCUUGACUAUAAAGGCACAUUUCCUUGUAUUUCAAGGUAAACCUAAAGAGACAAAAAAGAGAGAUAAAAUUAUGAAAAAUCAAAAUCGAUUGAAAAAUUAGAGCAAAAAUUAUUAUUUCAUUGAAACUCAUUAUGUGAUUUCUUGAAUUUUCAAUUCCCGAAAAGAUUUUCUGAUUGAUCUAGUUUUAAAAUGGAUUGAGAUUGGAUGUUUGAGGUUUGAGUUUGAAAUUGUUGUGGUUAUUGUUCGAGUAAGACUGUCUUCUAUUUUUUCAUAUUCAUUUUGGUUUGAACUGGUACUGUUGGUGUUGGCCUGCUACUGUUUUGCUGCUGGGUCCUCAUUUUUUCUUUGUUUUCGAGUUCCAGGUACAUUUUCUUAGCUUUGCUUUGAUGUAAAUUUUAGUUGGAAGAUGGGAAUGAGAAGUUAAUGCAUGGCAGCAGACCUAUCUGAGUUUCCUUUAUUUUCAUCUAUUUGUGCCUUAUAUCGUAUGAAUCUUUGUGUAUUCUAGCUAAUUUCAGUUUUGAGCAAUGGAAUUCACAUAGUUAUACUUAAUUUGGGACUGUUGAAGUGAUGACAUGUUAAUCAUGUUGUGAAUCAGCCUUAGCCUUAGAUAAGAUGAUUGUUCAUGCUUGAUAAUGGUUUGUGUUCGAAAUGUUUAGUAAUAGGCUAAGGGUGGUCAUGAUCUUGUUUGAUGUAUUGUUAAAGGAUAUGGGAGUGAUUUUAGUUUUAAAAUGGUGUAGAAAUUGAAAUGCUUAUUCAGUAUGUUUAAAUGUGGAAAUUAAGGAAUGAGCAUGAUUAUUUAGUUUUCAUGGUUUUCAAUAGUUGCAAACUUUUAUGGUUCCAUUGAUUAGAAUAUGAUGUGUUUUAAAUAAAUAAGGUUUAGAAAAGUUUUCAGUUAGUUCUGUUUAAUUUUUUGAUGCCCGGCAACUAUUAAUUUAAUCUGGCAGCUUUUCAAUAUCAAAUUUAAGUUUGUGUAAUGGGCCUCAUGGGGUUUCGUAAGGCCCAAAUCAUGUCUGUUUUUCGCUAGUUGGUCCAUUUAAGCUUAGAUUGAGCUUUGGAGUGUAAUAUCUAAUAUUCCCCUCCUCUCAAAGGAAUCGACCUUGGAUUACUAUUUCACAAUAUAGAUUAUGAACCGGACUUGGACUCAUUGUAGUUUUGGGGCUCAAAGGCAUUUACAACGCUAUAGGGUAUUUGUAUGUUAUCAUUGGGCUGUUAGUCACCAGUUUUGACUGUUAGGUUUUGGUUUAAACAGUUGCAUAAGAUAAGUAAAUCCCAACUCUUCUAAUGUUUAGAUAAUCAAGUCUCUUAAAUUAGUGGAGGUGUUCCAUAUUAGAUAACAUAAAUAGUUUAUGGCCCUCUGGAUGUAGUUCGAAUUCCCUUUUAAAAAUUGAAAUUGAGGUGCUCUGUGCCAAAUAAAAUCUCAAAUGUGUGGCCCUCAUUUAAUUAUUUCUUUUAAAUCAUUAGAUUUCGAGGCGUUCCAUUUUGUAAAUUUUCCAUGGCCCUCGCAAAGUUAAAAACGCAUAGUUGCUUUUGGCGCAUUAUUUAAAUAAUUUAUCUUCCUAAAUUCGGGUGCACAUUUCAUGUGACCCAACUCCAAUCUCACAAUAUUAGAUAAAAUAUGUCUCGGACUGCGGGUACAUUUCAUGUGGCGUGGUCUAAAGACAUGUUUUAGAUGAUGUUGAAAUCUUCUUAAAAAUAAUUAAAAGCGGUUAAUAAAUUUAAAAUGCACCAUAGGCUAAACCAUGUAUUAAAAUCGGAUAAUAGGCCAAUUAUGAUAGUUUAAGCGACCGUGCUAGAACCACGAAAUUCGGGGGUUCCUAACACCUUCCUUCGGGUUAAUAGAAUUCCUUAUUUAGAAUUUAUGGUUCGCAGACUUCAAAAGGAAAGUCGAAUCUUCCUCGAAUUGGGAUUUUAAAAUAAACCGGCAACUUGGGACAUCAAAAUAAACCAUUCCAAGUGGCGACUCUGAAAUAAAAUGAAUAAUAAUUCCAUUUCGAAUAAUGUCACUUAAAUUUGAAAAACUCCCUUAUACAUUACCCUUCAGGGGUUGUGUGUGAAAAAUGGAGGUGUAACAGCUCUGGCGACUCUGCUGGUGAUCCAAACCCAGAACUUCAAUUUAGGGUUUAAGAAUUCGAGCUUAGAAUAGCUGUUAUGAUUGGCUUUAUCUAUUAUCUGAUUUUCCUACAUGUUUGAGCCUAAUGUGCUAAAUGCUUUUACCGCUUUGAUAUUUUUGUGAAUCGUAUAUAAAUUGCUAUGAUACCCUCUUCUCUCUGAGUCUUCUAAAUCAACCGGGAAGUGUGCACUUCGUGUAACUUCUUUUCUGUUAAAUUCUUAUCCCAAAUUUUAGAAUGAGGUUCGGACAAGUUGCAAAACUGGCGAAGCUUCUGUAUUCCCGGUACGCUGCCUCGCCCUCGGCUCGAGUUGUCCGCUCGAGUAAGCCAGGUCUAAAAUAAUAAACCCAGGUUUUAAACCUAGUAUAACAAAACCCCAUGCUGGAUCCCUAGAAGGAACGUUUGUUUUCAUCACAUGCAUUUGACUUAGGAGACUCAACAAAGGGGUUGGGUCUGUCUAGCACAGGUGUACCUGAAAUGAAAAGAUCAUCCUGAUGCAUCCUACUUGCUACUUGUGCAUUUAUUUGCUUAGGAUUGGCAUACUGACCGGCCUGUGAAUAAUAGAAGAAAAUUGGGAAAAGAAAAUAACACUGUGAAGGUUAAGAGAGAUAAUUAUCCAUUUUGAGAAAAAUCUAUGUCCCAAAAGGUACUGAAUCCCUACCAGAUCUUUGAAAAAAAAAGGUGAAAAGAAGAAAAGUUUUCAAAAAUAAUUGGUUUGUUUAAAAAAUUUUGCCCGAACUAUUCCAGUUUGAUUCCCACUGGAUAUGGGAUAUGUAGGCAACCCCCAUCGGGUCCAACUUUCCAUUUUUGCAAAAAUAGCCCCAAAAACAACAAAAUUUUAUAUUUAUCACAAAUAAGUAGGCUGAUGUCAUUCUUGUUUAAAAUAAGCCGAAUGUACCCAAAUGGGCGCCAGAAGACUGUUUUUGAAAGAACAACCACCUUUGGUCAUUUUCUUUUAAUUUUUUAGCCCGUUGGCAGGCAUAGCCUUAAAAUCUUCUUCCCGGAGUGCUGAAAGGCCAUAUUUACAAAACUGGGUUUUAUUCUUGAAAUAAAAUUAUUAAAAAUAGUGUUACUCUUUUUGAGUCAAAAUGAGUUAUUAAAUCACCUUAAUAAAUGUGCAAGAUGAGCACAAAUGAAAUUGAACCUUCACAACCCUUAAAGAGAUCCCCUUACAGCUCCACAUGUGGUAAAAUGAUCUAGGAAAAGGCAGUAGAGAAACUGUUGUAUAGGUUCUGGGAUGUCUCGUCGGACUAAUGAACACCAAGCCAAGGUUGGACAUAAUUGAAGCUUUAAUACCUUUUUGGGAUCCAACUAGCAAUGUGUUAUGCUUUUCUGACUUUGAGCUUACUCCUACCCUAAAGGAAAUUGCGGGUUAUGCUGGCCUUAAUGGAAACCUUAGAAGUCGAUAUCCAGUAUAGCAAAGACCAGUAUCUCCCCACAAAUUUUUGGAUUUGCUAAGUAUUAGUCGGGAUAUCCAAGAUGGAAACUUAUUUGAAGGGUAUUGUACUUUCUAAUUUCUAUAUCAACGCUAUGGUAACCUCGAGGUUUUGAAGCACCAAAUAUUGGUCUUUCCCACGUUGGAAAUAAAAACAAAUGGAAGUCAAGGCGGGGUUUGGCCUUUGCAGCACCAUUCUUGGGUAUCAUAGUCUGUCCACAAGAAGAUGGUAAUAUAGAAACGAGUCUCGUAGGAAUGGUCGAUGUUGCAAUCAAGAAAGCCAAUAGCAUUGUGGUUCCAUUCAUCCUAUCUAAAAUCUAUCGAGCCUUGACUAUCUGUUGAGAAGGGGGAAAGUUCUUCCAAGGCUGCAAUUUGUUACUACAGUUAUGGAUAUAGUAGCAUCUCUAAUACAGGUUUGGGUAUAUGAAUUACGGUGUGGCCGGUUUGAGUUGCAUUGAAGAAUUUUAUAGUCGAGUAGUGGCUAUUGAAUUCCCCGAGGGUACUGAAGCUUGCCUUGCACAUUUGAGAUCCUUAACUGCUGAUAAAACUGAGUGGGCGUUCGGAUGGCUUCCUACCACCGAAUUAGUAUACAUGCCAGCUGAAGUGUGUCAUCUCCUCAUGAUGGGCAUCCGGAGCAUCCAGCCGUAUGCUCCCCACGGAUUUUUGUGGCAAUUAGGAAGAUUUCAAACUAUCCCCAUGACGAAUAUUUGAGAAAACAUGUCGUUGAGUUAGGCCCAAAAGCCGUAUUUCUGGAGGGAAGAAUUUUCCAGGUGUGGAAUGAAUGUAGAUUUCUUGAACCUAAGACUAUGGUGUGAGAUCUAGCUAGAGGCUAAGUGGACCCUAAGUACAUAUUUUGGUUUGGUACAAGAUUCUAAAUCCAUUAAAGACCUGCCAAGAGAUCCCAUGUACAACAAUUCACUAAUGACUCGCAAGAGCAAUGGAGCUGGUUGGCAAAAGAAGAAAGCUACAAGGCUAGAAUAGGUAAGUUGGAAGGACAAAUCAGGGACCUCAAAUUUGCUAAAAGUAUCAAAUCUGCCGCAAAUGAAGGAGAAAAGAAAAAGCUAACUCAGGAAAAUGAAGCCCUCAAAGCUCAAUUCCAGAAAAUGAGAAUAUCAGCUAGAAACCCAGAAAAAAGUCGAGCAGAAGAAAGGCUUAUAAGCAGUAUGAGGAAGAAAGCACUCGAGAGUCAAGAUGAUUUAGAAAAAUCUGAAGCCAAUCUUGCAUAGGUCCUAACCUAAUUGGAAAAGAAUGUAGAAGGGAGGACACAACUUCGGCAACAAAUGAAAAGAAAGUAUGAAGGGACAAUCACCAACACGAGAAGAAAGUAAACCACCCUGGAGAAUGAGGCGGCUAAGCAAGCCAAUGACUUUAAAGUUGACAGGGAACAUUGUUAUGCUCCAAUGUCUUGGAUGGAGGAGGAAAUGCAACUGCUGUAAAACUAAAACCAUCACGACAUUCAGGUGUUAGAAUCUAGAAAUCAGCAAAUCGGGCAUCUACUUCAGGAAAAAGGUAGGAUUUGUGAAAGGAUUAGAGCUAUUGCCUACUACAUUGUCGCAAAAUGCCAAGCAUGUGAGGAUAUGACCCAAACCACCUUCUUCGCUACAUUGAUGAUAUUCGUCCGCCAGAUAAUGAGUGAUUUGGAGCGGCUACAAGGGGAUCCCGCACAUAGGCAUGUGGCGAGGCCCAAUGAUGCUCCGCGAGAUCAAGGAGUUGAAGCUUUAAUGUAUUCCUAAUUUUUCAUUUAUCGAGUCUGUAUUUUGGUUUAUUUUGAGUCCGUUUGUAGUUUUUCAUUCCAAGAAAAUUAGUGGUUUGAAAUCUUUUGUAAUAAAAGUUUAGAAGUUUAUUAAUGAAAAGAUCGAAAAUUCCCAAAAAAUUAUUUCUUUAUUUUUUGCAUUUAUUUUCUUGAACUACGUAAUGAUUUGAUUCACACGACGUCAUGAUACGUAGGCAAUCCUCAUUGGAUCCGGUCAUAAUCUUGUGAAUAAUUCCAAUAGGAAAAGAAAAAAAGAGAAGAAAAAACAGAAGAAAAUGAUAGAAGAAAAGAAAAGAAAAAGAAACGAGAGAUGAAAAGAAAAGAAUAAGUAAAGUCAGGAUAAAGUAUGCUACCGUUGCAAAACAUGUAGAAACACAUUUAACUGCAUAGGUGAAUCACACCCCUAACGUGUGAUUACCUAUGUGUUAUUUUUUUCAAACUAACUGUUUGUUGAUGUUACUCCCAAGUCUGGGUUUUUAUAGAAUACUGGUUAGUUUUUGUGGUAAUCUGGCUUCGCACACAUACUAUACGAGAUCGAAAUGGAGCAUCGAAAUGUCAUUGGAAAUGACUCUGCCAAAAAUUCCUAUCAUGGAUGAUACUCCAAUCUAAGGAAUUCCGACCUCAGAAUUUGCAGCUUCCGAAGAAAAUAGAAUCUUGCUUCUCUGAGUUAUGGAAAUGCGGGAUGCUUGGUCAAAUGGAAGAGGGCCUCCAAGUGCAAUCUCGGAAUUCCCUGAACUCUUUCCUAAGACAAGCGGUACCUCCACCGUCCCGAUCAGUCACCCAAAUACACCACUAGGACACCCGAUUAUCUCAGCUAAUUUUGUGGGAACACCUUCUGAGGUUCGCUUCCAGGUGUUAAUGUCCGGUGCAACUUCAAAUAUCUUUAUUGCUCCACCUUUCUCGGCCACGGCACAACCUAUAUUGCCCAGGCCCAGUUUUGACCCAUCAUCUUUCACCUUCCAAACACCUACAUUCCCAAUGGGACCUCCUCAACUUCUCACUUAUACUUACUCCCAACCAUCCCGGUAUGAGUUCACUGUGGGGCAAGAAAAGACCACCAAAAUUCUUGAGCAAGAAGAGAAUGUGAGAAAGAUGAGGAGUAUGGAACAAAGUCUCAAAAGCAUACAAGGAUUGAGUGGACAGAAAAGUGCGUCCUAUGCCGACUUAUGUAUGUUCGCUCAUAUGCAUCUACUAUUAGGAUUCAAAACCCUAAAAUUUGAGAAGUAUGAUGGACACGGUGAUCCUAUUGCUCAUCUCAAGAGAUAAUGCAACCAACUGCAAGGAGUCGGUGGAAAGGAAGAACUUUUCAUGGCUUAUUUCGGGGUAGUUUAGUUAGAAUCGCAUCCGAAUGGUACAUGGACCAAGAUAUAUCCCGCUGGCACAUCUGGGAUGAUCUUGCUAGAGAUUUCAUCAAGCAGUUCCAGUAGAACAUUGAUAUUGCUCCAGAAAGAAAAUCAUUAACAAACUUGAAGAAGAAAUGCUCAGAAAGCCUGUGAGAGUACGCAGUUAAAUGGCGUAAGUAGUCCUCCAAGGUAAAGCCUCUGAUGGAAGAGAUUGAAAUGGUUACAGUUUUCCUCCAAACCCUAGAGGCUGACUACUUCCAAAAUAUGAUGUCCGAAAUGGGUAAACCGUUCGCUGAAGCCAUCAAGAUUAGCGAAAUGGUUGAAAAUGGUUUGAAGACAGGUCGAAUUUUGAGCCAGUCCACUAUAAGAGCUACCUCCCAAUCCAUCCAAGGUGGUUCUGGAGGAAUAACAAAGGGAAUAAAAAGGAAGAAACAUCCAUGGCAGCGUCAGAUGCAAGAAAAUACCGUACUCCCAGAUCCAUCUUCUCAGAAAGAACCCUGCAGCACUAUUACCCCCACCAAGACGUGGCCUAUGCUCCUCAUCCAUAAACAGUCAUGAAUGCUCAAUCUUAUGUUCGACCAUAACAACAAGAGAACCGAAACCAAACUCCAUUUCCUAGAAACCAGCCUCCUUACCAAACUCACUACAACCCCCAACCUCCACAAAAUAAUUUCCACCACCAUGAACCACCCAAGAGGCCAAAUUUCACACCAAUCGGUGAAUCUUACUCCAACCUGUUACCAAAACUUAUUCAAAUGGGUAUGCUACAGCAUGUUCCCUAAACCAGGAAAAACUCGACAUCACCCGCUUAUAGAGUUGGUGCCCGAUAUACAUAUCACUCAGGGGCAAAAGGGCAUGACACGGAUGAUUGCUGGACUCUGAAGAGAGCCGUGGAGAACUUGAUAGAACAAAGAAAGAUAGUGCUGAGGGAUAAAGAUAUUCACAAUUUGACGAACAACUCAUUGCCUGCCCAAAACAACGGGCUAGUAAUCGGGAUAAUUUGUGAGGAUAAGGAAUUUGACCCAGCGUUGAAGGCCAUCAUUGCCAUCGCUGAUGCAGAAAAGAAACCAAAAGCUACCCCGAAGCAAGAGAAAGGGGAGAAAAAUAACAAAACCACCCCUUCAAAGUCGGAGAAGAAAAUUGAAGUUGAAAUCGGGGUGCAACGCCCCCCAAAGAUGUUGUUAUGUAUGUUCCUCGAGGCCGCAAAUAAAAGCAUAUGACAUUGAGUCAUCCUAGGAGAUUUGAUUUGAACAAUACAACCCAAGUGUAUGUGCCCAAGGGAGCUUACAUGAUGCGGGGGCCAAUUAAUCUACCAAGGAUGAGUGAGCCCGUGGUUAAUGGCCGCGCGCGACAAAAGCCCAUGACAGAUUAUUCCGCUAUGCCCUGGAAUUACAACAAAUCAGUGGUGACUUACAAAGGAAAAGAAAUCUCAAGAAAGGUUCCAGAAAAUUAACCGGCUGAAAAGUAUUUCAAUUUGGAAGAGGUAAACAAUGCCACUAGAAAGCGCUUCCCGUCUAAGAUGCCGGUGAAUUCCGAAGAAGUGGAGGCCUUCUUUCAAAAGAUGAAAAUGGCUUAUUAUGAGGUGAUCGACCAGCUUUCAAAAUCUCUCGCACAAGUCUCUCUGUUAUCUCUAUUGAUGAACUCCACCGAACAUCAAAAGGUAUUGAUCGAGACCUUUAACAAAGCAUAUGUGCCUAUUGAGACCUCUGUAGAGCAGUUAGAGAGAAUGGCAGAAAGAUUUUUUGCAGUCAACCAAAUCUCCUUCAGCAAAAAUGACUUGCCCCUAGAAGGGCCCGCACACAACAAAUCCAUGCACCUGACAGUCAAAUGCGAAGGGUAUUAUGUUGGACGAGGGCUCUAGAGUAGAUGUCUUCCCACUCUCGACUCUACAAUUCAUAGAAAUUGGUAUCGAGAGAAUCUGACCCAACAAUGUCCGUGUAUGUGCUUUCGCUGGUAUCAAAAAGGACAUAAUUGGAGAGAUUGAUCUGAUCCGAACCAUCGGCCUAAUAGACUUUGAAGUAACCUUCCAGGUUCGUGACAUGGAAACCUUUUACAACUUUCUUUUUGGAAGGCCGUGGAUUCAUGCAGUGGGGGUUAUACCUUAUACUCUUCAUCAGAUGGUGAAGUUUGAGCAUGAGGAUCAAGAUAUUAUGGUCCAUAGGGAAGAUGAGAAAUUAAUUUAUCGAGACCCAUCGAUCCUCUGUAUUGAAGCAAGAGAGGGGAGUGAGCACAUAGUCUAUCAUGCCUUUGAAAUCGUGGUCACAGAUCAGUGCGAAGAAGGAAAACCUUGCCCUCAACCCUUCUUUUCGAAUGCAUCAAUCAUGGUCGCUAAGGAAAUGAUCAGGCGUGGAUUCAAACCUGGGAAGGGGCUUGGGAAAUCAUUGCAAGGAAUAGCAGAACCUAUCACCCUGCAAACUAGUGAAAAUUUCUUUGGGGUCAGCUUCAGACCCACACCAGAUGAUAUAAAAUGGACGGAUGGUAGAAAUAAUGAUGGAUGGGUCUUAUUGCAACCAGUGUAUCACCUAUACAACAUAUUGGUCAAGCCCAAAUACAACGAAGAAGAAGAUGAUGAGGCCUUUAUGACAAAAGAAAAUGAAGAAAUCUAUGGGGCAAUUACAAAGAUAUUAUAUAAAACCCACAUGGUCCAGCUAGAGGAAGACUCAAGCACCGCUGAGAUGCAAUACAUGGGACCUGAGGCAAAAUUACAAAAUUUUGGAAGGCUACACCAUUCCCAAUCAGCGGGAGUCCCGGUAGACCCGUCCUGCCACCUUUUCUACAUCACAAGUUAUUCUAGAGUGUAAAUAUGAUGUUUUUCUUUAGUUUCAUGUCUAUUAAUUUCCAAUGUAAACCUUGUUAUCUUCAAAAUUCAAUGAACUGAAAUCAAUAUUUCCUCAUCCAUCUUUCUUUAUUCCUUCUGAUUUUUGUUAUUUUAUUUUUUUUUCUUCUUCUUCCAGUUCUAAUAAUGCGGCUUUAAAUAACAUGACAUGCUUGCGGACUUCAUGCCUAGAUCCAGAACACACUGUCUAACUGUUAAAUAACAAACCAGGAGCCAGAAUAUGAUGAAAAAGAGGCUUUUAGGGAAAUAAAUCGAGAACUGGAACACUUUGAGAAUAAACCUAGGCCAAACUUAGAUGACACUAAGCCGGUUAAUUUGGCUAGUUUUGAAGAAAUUAGGAAAACCAAAAUAAGUAUUCAAAUAGAAGAAAAACUCAAGAUGCAUUAAUCCAACUCUUGUUUGAGUUCAAAGAUGUGUUUGCUUGGUUACAUGAUGACAUGACAGGACUGAGUGUUGAUUUGGUGGUUCAUAAGUUGCCAACUUACACCGAUUUUCCUCUGUCCAACAAAAGCAAAGAAAAUUUAAAACGGAUGUUAGUGUCAAGAUCAAAGAAGAAGUCAUGAAACAGUUGAAAGCAGGGGUGAUCCGAGUGGUCCGGUACACCACAUGGCUAGCCAAUAUAGUUCUAGUGCCGAAGAAAGAUGGGAAGACCCGACUGUGUGUGGAUUACAGAGUUCUAAACAAGGCAAGUCGCAAAGAUAACUUCCCUUUGCCCAACAUCCAUAUCCUUGUUCAUAAUUGCGCCAAACAUGAGAUACAGUCCUUCGUGGAUUGUUAUGCAAGAUAUUACCAGGUGUUGAUGGAUGAAGAAGAUCAGAGAAAACAACUUUUGCCAGACCUUGGGGUACAUACUUUUAUAGAGUCAUGCCAUUUGGUUUGAAAAAUGCUGGGGCAACCUACAUGAGGGCCAUGACUGCUAUUUUCCAUGAUACGAUGCACCAAGAAAUAUAUGUGUAUGUGGACGACGUAAUCGUCAAGUCCAAAUCCCAGGAUGUCCAUAUUUGGGAAUUGAGAAAAUUCUUUGAGCGGUUGCACAAAUAUGAUUUGAAGCUGAACCCAGUCAAAUGAGCAAUUGGGGUCCCUUCGGGAAAACCUUUGGGCUUUAUAGUCAACCGAAGAGGUAUUGAGUUAGAUCCAACGAAGAUAAAAUCUAUUCGUGAUUUUCCUCCUCCGAAAACCAGGAAAGAUAUGAUAAGCUUGUUGGGUGGAUUGAACUAUAUCAACUGGUUCAUUGCUCAAUUGACAUCCACGUGUGAACCCAUAUUCAAAUUGCUGAAGAAAGACGUGGUAAUCGAGUGGACGAAUGAAUGUCAAGAAGCUUUUGAUAAAAUCAAGGAGUAUCUAUAUAACUCACCAGUCCUGGUCCACCUGAACCAGGGAGGCCUCUAUUCUUGUAUCUGAUAGUCUUGGAGAAUUCUUUCGGCUAUGUCCUCGGGCAACAUGAUGUUGCCGGAAAGAAAAAAGCACACAAUAUACUACUUCAAUAAGAAGUUUACCAGCUAUGAAGCUAAGUAUACUUUGCUGGAAAGAACCUGUUGUGCCUUAACUUGGGUCGCUCAGAAGUUGAGACUUUAUCUGCAAGCCUACACCAUUUACCUCAUAACCAGGUUGGAUCCUUUGAAAUAUAUAUUCCAGAAACCAAUGCCCACAGGGAGAUUAGCCAAAUGGAAGAUCCUGCUCACUGAAUUUUUCAUAGUCUAUGUCACUCGCACGGCAAUAAAAGCCCCGGCGUUGUGGAUGAAAACCAGGUUGAUGUUGAAUACCAACCUUUGAACACUUACUUCCCAGAUGAAAAGGUGAAAUCAGUCGAGGCAAUAUCCCAGGAUAAUGUUGAAUACCAACCUUUGAACACUUACUUCCCAAAUGAAAAGGUGAAAUUAGUCGAGGCAAUAUCCGAGGAUACUACUACUUGGAAGAUGUUCUUUGAUGGAGUAGUAAACGCAAAAGGUGUAGGGAUUGGGGCAGUUUUGAUCUCACCUACUGGUCAGCAUUACCCAACCACAGCCCGACUUUGAUUUUUCUGCACAAACAAUUCUACUGGGUAUGAAGCCUACAUUAUGGAUAUAAACAUAGAAAUCGACCAGUACGUCGAAGAGUUGUUGAUCAUGGGAAACUCAUAUGUGAUUAUCCGGCAAGCUCAGGGAGAAUGGGAAACCCGAGAUGUAGAACUCAUCCCUUACAAACAGCAUGUGAAAGACCUUAGCAAGAGAUUAAAGUCAAUAGAGUUCAGGUACAUGCCACAUUGUCACAACAAAUUGGCCAACACACUUGCUACUUUGGCCUCGAUGCUGCCGUAUCCAGGCAAUGCCCACAUAGAUCCCUUGGAAAUCCAAAUUCGAGAAAGGCAUGGUUAUUGUAAUACGGUUGAAGCAAAACCAAAUACUCAACCAUGGUACCAUGACAUCAAAAGAUUUCUGAAAACGCAAGAAUACCCCAAGCAAGCUAGUGGGGACCAAAAGAGGACCAUUAGAUGGCACAAGAGUGUUUUCUUUUUGAGUGGUGUUGUCUUGUACAAAAGGACUCCAAACCUAAAUUUGUUAAGAUGUAUUGACGCAGAAGAGGCUGGAAGAAUCAUGCAUAAAGUGCACGUGGGAGUAUGCAGACCCCACAUGAAUGGGUAUGUUUUAGCAAAGAAAAUCCUUCGAGCGGGCUACUACUGGAUAACUAUGGAAAGAGAAUAUUUCAGCUUUGUCCCGAAGUGUCAUCAGUGUCAGGUGUACGGUGAUUUGAUUCAUGCACCGCCCAGAGAACUGCAUUCCAUGUCAAUACCUUGAUUGUUCGUUGUUUGGGGCAUGGACGUCAUCGGGCCAAUCGAGCCGAAAGCCUCAAAUAGGCACAGAUUCAUGCUGGUUGCUAUUGACUACUUCACGAAAUGGGUUGAAGCCACCACUCUCAAAUCUGUCACCAAGAAGGUUGUGGUAGAUUUCGUGCACUCCAAUCUUAUCUGUCAUAUUUGGUAUUCCUACAACUAUCAUCACAGAUAAUGCUGCAAACUUGAAUAGUCGUUUGAUAGAGGAGAUAUGCUAACAAUUCAAAAUAACGCACAGGAACUCUACUCCUUAUCGGCCCAAAGCCAAUGGUGCCGCCGAAGCAACAAACAAGAACAUCAAGAAGAUUUUGAGAAAGAUGAUUCAGAGCUACAGGCAGUGGCAUAAAAAAUUGCCUUUUGCAUUAUUGGGAUAUCGUACUACGGUGCACACAUCGGUGGGAGCAACCCUAUACCUCUUGGUCUAUGGCACUGAGGCCGUGAUACCCGCGGAGGUUGAAAUUCUUUCUCUCCAGAUCAUAAUUGAAGCCGAAAUUGAAGAUAGUGAGAGGGUCAAGACCCGUCUAGAUCAGUUGACCCUGAUUGAUGAAAAGCAAAUGGCUACGGUUUGCCACGGGCAAUUGUACCAACAAAGAAUGGACCAUGCUUACAACAAGAAAGUGUGGCCCAGAAAUUUUGAAGUGGGGCAACUCGUGUUAAGGCACAUUCUGCCCCAUUAUCAGGAAGCGAAAGGAAAAUUAGCUCCUAAUUGGAAAGGCCCAUAUAUCAUCAGAAAGAUAUUACCAUGAAGGGGAUUAUACUUAGGAGAUGUCGAAGGAAAUGAUCCCGACGCAGCUGUGAAUGCGGAUAUAGUAAAAAGGUACUAUGCUUAGGCUUUCUGCAACAAUGACAUUAUUUUAUUGGGAUGACGAAGACUUUCAUUCCUGCUACCAAAAUACUAUCAACCUUUUGUAAACCCUUUGAGCUAGUUACUCUUCUUUGACUAUCAUCUUUGGAAAUCGGAAGUUUUAUUGGAAAAGAAAAAAUGAAAAAAAGAAAAAUGAAAAAACAUCAAAACAAAAGAAAGAAAAAGAAAAACAAAAUAAAAGAAAAACAAAAUAACAACAAAAGCAAAAUAUUUUUCCUAAACUACGUUCGACUUGAUUCCAAAAGGAUACGUAGGUAGCCUCUCUCUGGGGUUCAAUCACAACAAAAUAAAAACCCAAUUUUCCCCCAAAAGUGAAACUAGGGUAGAUGAUAUAAUGGUUCGGUGAUGAUCCUUCCUGAACGGUUCCAAAGUUGUAAGGCGAUCCAAUUCUAUUUUUACCCAAACCUUGUCCUAGUCCUUCUGAUCAAUCGGCAAAUGGCGUCAAAAUUAGAGAGCACAGUUGCAUGGAUUUGAUACAAUCAAUAUGAGAGAAAUAAAAUGAGAGAGUCUUAUCGGUGAAAACCUAUGGGCACCAUAACGUGACAGUGAGCAGAGAAAUUGAAAAUCAGAGAGCUUGGCUAGUGAAAACUCGUAAAGAGCGCUAUCAAGUGACGGUGAGAAGAGAAAUUAGAGAGGCCGAUUGGCGAAAACCCGCAAAGGGCGCCGUUGAUCAAAAAGAAGACACCCCUCACCACCAUCGGAGUCUUGGCAAGAUUUCUCAAUUUGGAAGUAUGGUUCACAAUGAUCUUAUGAGAAGUUGGGAAAGUUGUGCAGGUCAAGCAUCAAGUCCAAGAAGCAUGCCAUGUCUAUUGAAGUCGGCAUGUACUCCAGAUAAGUCAUUCUUUCCUCCCCAAAAGUGGCACUUCCUUGAAUACCUUUCAGUCUACUUCUGUUUUCGAAACUAAUACAAAGAAAAUGUGGCAAGAUGGUUUUACAGGUUUCUACCUAAUAAAAGCCAAAGAAAAUACCCAGCCUUAGCGGGUGCGCCGAGUCAAUCCCGACUGGCCAUGUUGGUUGAUGCUCUGAAAUCAAAGAUUUUGAAAGGAAAAAAAAAAGCCAAAGGCGGAAUAAAGUGAAAGGGUCAAAGCCCACCAAGAGCGAGCCGUCAUGGAAUCUUGAAAAGUUGGGUCCCUCGAUCAAUCUUAUGAAAACCAACAAGCAGCAGACGCUCUCACCAAAGAGUCGGGCUGAGAUCAAAAUCAAGGCCACAAAACCAACCACCGUUUCAAACUAACAAUUGUUCUUUGUUUUAAAUUAAAACAGGUGCUACCCAAAGUAACUGUGCAAAAGCAGGUGCAACCAGAAUGAAAAGAUGCGCAAAAGCUAAAAAUAGUUUCGCAGCAAUAAUCAACCCAAAAGGGAAGCUCUCCUCCAAAAUUUUUUCUUGCAUUUCAUUGAUAUAAAAUGAAAUGAAAAAGGAAAAUGAAAAAAAAGAAAAAAAAUCCAAAACAAAAAAAAUGACAGCUUCGGAUUCCAAACCUCAAUCUUUUACAUUUUUACCAACAUGAAGUCUCCAAUCCAUGAGUUGAGUUUUUAGACAUAGGGCCUUCAUUCCUUAGCCACCUUUUUUUUACCAAUAUUAGGGCUCCAUUCCCUGAGUUGAGAUUUUAGACGUAGGGCCUCCAUUCCCUAGUCGCUUUUCUUUUACCAACAUUAGGGCUCCAAUCCCUGAGUUGAGUUUUUAGACAUAGGGCCUCCAUUCCCUGGGCGCUUUUUUUUACCAACAUUAGGGCUCCAAUCCAUGAGUUGAGAUUUUUAUAUAUAUGUCUUCCAUUCCCUAGUCGCCUUUUUUACUAACAUUAGGGCUCAAAUCCCUGAAUUGAGAUUUUGAACAUAGGGCCUACAUUCCCUAGACGCCUUUUUUACCAACAUUAGCGCUCUAGUCCCUGAGUUGAGUUUUUAGACAUAGGGUCUCCAUUCCCUAGUCGCCUUUUACCAACAUUAGGGCUCUAAUCCAUGAGUUGAGUUUUUAGACAUCGGGCCUCUAUUCCCUAGUUGCCCUUUUACCAACAUUAGGGUUCUAAUCCCUGAGUUGAGAUUUUUAGACAUAGGGCCUCCAUUCACUAGUCGCCUUUUUACCAACAUUUGUGCUCCAAUCCCUGAGUUGAAUUUUUUAGGCAUAGGGCCUCCAUUACCUAGUCGCCUUUUUACCAAUAUUAGGGAUCCAAUCCCAGAGUUGAGUUUUUAGACAUAGGGCCUCCAUUCUCUAGUCGCCUUUUUUACCAACAUUGGGGCUCCAAUCCCCGAGUUGAGAUUUUCGACAUAGGGCCUCCAUUCCCUACUUUUUUACCAGCAUUAGGACUCAAAUCCCUGAGUUGAGUUUUUAGACAUAGGGCCUCCAUUACCUAGACGCCUUUUACCAACAUUAGAGCUACAAUCCCCUAGUUGAAUUCUUAGACACAGAGACUCUAUUCCCUAGUCAUCAUUCACCAACAUUAGAGCUUCAAUCCCUGAGUUGGGUUUUUGUAGACAUAGGGCCUCCAUUCCCUAGUCGCCUUUUCGCCAACAUUAGGGCUCCAAUCCCUGAGUUAAAAUUUUAGAUAUAGGGAUCCAUCCCCUGAUCUUUUUCCUUCUAUAUAGACACAAUCCUAUUUUAUUUUCUUUCGAAAAAGAAAAAGAAAAAUAGAGACAAGAGAAAAGAGAAGAAGUUCGGAUUUUGUCACAAAUAACUUAAGAAAUUUUCUCAGUAAAACUAGGGCAGGAAAUUUCGUUCGUUUAUUUGUUUUGGCAUCUGAACAAGUUUGACCUCAAAGCACAUGACCCGAAAUGGCCGAGAGAGUGAGCCUCGGUACAGAAUAAAGAAAAGAAAAAGAAUAAAAAAGAAGUGAAUUAAAAUGCUGAAGUAGACAAAGAUGCGGACUGCUUAUGAAUGCGAUUAAAGUCACAAGCUUCGUAUGUCCCGAUUUGAUCCAAAAGAUGAAGAAAGAACCAUCAUAUGCAGCUGACAAGCAUCAAGAUUCAGAUCAGAGUCAACAACAAAAACCAGCUAAGACUCAAGAUCAAGCUUCAAUAGAUUUAUAGAUAGGAAUCUUGUAACUCGUAGUUGAGAGGCCUAGCUAGCUUAUCUUUUGAUCUUCUUUUUAUUUGGUGUAAUAAGGAGGUCAGCAAGAACUAGCAACAGUGAAAUCACAGCUCCUUGGUAGUCCCAGCUAUCAAAACUUUCAAAACUACACUGAUCUAGUUCCCUUAUAGCGAAGGAUUAUGUAGGCAACCUUUGAAGCAAGGUUUGGUGAGAUAUUUUUCAAAAAUGUUUCUCAGGGAGUGUCAAGCAAGCAAAAAUCCCUCAUAGUUGCUCAUUUUAUCUUUGCCCGAAAACCCUUCGUGUCUUCGAGCAAAGAGGGGCAGCUGUGAGCACGUGAUUUUUGCCUCGCAUGAAUUACUCCUACAGAAUUUCCAAAAUUAGGAUUUUUUUAAUUGUUUGAUUUUAGGAAUUAUUGCAUAAUUUUUGUAUUUGUUUGCAUUUUUGUGUGCAUGUUUAAUUUAUUUUAUUCACAAAAAAAUACAAAAAUAAGUUGCAUUUGCAUUUAGGAUCCUAUUUUAUAUAUUAGGCUAAUUUAGUGAAUUAAUGUCACAAAAAUGAAAAAAUAACAAAAAUUGUUUAUUUUGCAUUUUAACUUUUUAAUAUUCGAAUUUUGUUAUAGUUUUUUUUAAUUUGGGACUUAAUUAAUUUUUGAGAAGCAAUUAGUUUGUUAAUUUAGUUUUAAAAUUAAAUCAUGUUUUAUUUUUAAUUUGUAAUUUAAAAAAAUCUGAAAAAUUAAAAAAAAAUGAAAAAGAAGAAAAGAAGAGAAAAAGAUUUUUUUAAUAAAAGACCUGUAUUUUGGGCCAACCCAAUCAAAAACCCGUCAACCCAUCACUACCCGCCCCAAAAUCCAUAUUUUAACCCGGUCCAGCACCCCAUAACCAAACGACCCCGUUUUAGCUAGAUUUGUUCUCGAUCGUUGGAUCUCCCUAAUCCAACGGUCCAAAACUGGUAUUCAUUAAUAUUUAAAUGUCCAAUGCCCCUACCCCUAAACAGUCUCUCACAUAACCCCCAAAGACUCCGACCAAGCUCCACCCUAAACCAUCGUCCGGCGCCUGCCGAAAAUCGCCCACGGCGGCGGCCGGCAGCCAAAUACACCACAAUUUACAUCAAAUAUUCUCCUCAAUCCCCACUUCCCAAAUAUCCAAUCACCUUCCCUUAAAACUAGCUAGAUUCCCUCAAAUAUUUAAUUAAAAUAGAAAACCCUACCGUCGUUACAGCUUCUCCGGUGACGGCGCCACCGCCAAUGAGCUCCAAAUUAACACCCCAAGACCCUCAGUCACCCUUGACCCCCGAUCCAUUGCUAAUACCUCUCGAACAUACCUAGAACUCGUCGAAUAUCAUUUUGAAGUCGAAGCUUUAACAGGUCAACGUCUAGAGUCCGACCGAUUGGGACCAAAGCGGACCUUGGUCGUGUGUUUUCAUCUGGGAACACACGAUCGAGGCCCCUUUUUGUCAGAUCGUGAAUUCAUCGAAUAGCCCUUCAAGGUUUUCAAGUCGAUCCAUGACCACUUUAGGUAUAUCCAUUUACCUUAGGUUGUUAAUUUCUAUUUCUUUUUCUUAUUUACUUCUCUUCUUCUUCUAUCUCUUUCUUUUUCUGAUUUUUUGUUUUAUUUUUUUUAAAUUUAUUUUCAUCCCUUCAAAUGUAUAUAUAUGCAUAUGUUAGUUAGUUUCCUAUUUAGUUUUUAGUUCGUUUAAUUUUCAGAAAACUCAUUUAUGAAUCCAAGAGUGUUUUGUUCAUUCUUUCUGUGUUUUGGUUUUUCCGUAAUUAUUUGUUCAUACAUGAUUAGCUUUAUAUUUUUCUUUAAUCAGUAACCUUAGUCUAUUAACUUAGUACACUAAUUUAGUAAUUCUGGCUAAUAGAUUGUGCAAUCUAGGAUUUAAUUGCUAAAAAAAUAUUUACAUUUUGGUUAGUAUUUCAGAAUCUUAAUUGAGCUAAUUGGUGAAAAGUAGGGCAAGCCAUUGGACCAUUGGGUCAAUUUGACUCAUACCCAUUUGGUCUAUAAGGUAAAUUUUAGGGGUAACUAAGGGUAAAUUGGAUAGUCUACUUAGGUAAUCCUUUGUUAACUACCUUAUGAAGCUUUUUAGAAGCUGAAAAUAGCCUUACUUGGCCAACAAGUCAGUAAUUUAAGGAUCGGUAAGCAAAAAAAAGGAAAAUUAAAAGGGGGUAAAAUGCAAAAAUUAAUUCAUUAGUGCUGCCCUAGUUCCUUGCCUAUAAAGGCACACUUCCUUGCAUUUCAAGGCAGACCUAGAGUGACAAUAAAAGAGAUAAAAUUCUGAAAAAUCAAAAUCGGCCGAAAAAUUGGAGUAAAAAUUACUAUAUCAUUGAAACUCAUUCUGUGAUUUCUCAAUUUUUCAAUUCCUGAAAAGAAUUUCUGAUUGAACUAGUUUUAAAAUGGACUGAGGUCGGUUGUUUGAGGUUUGUGUUUGAAAUUGUAGUGGUUAUUGUUCGAGUGAGGCUGCUUUCCAUUGUUUUCAUAUUCAUUUUGGUUUGAACUGGUAUUGUUGGUGUUGGCUUGCUACUGUUUUGCUGCUGAGUCCUCAUUUUUUCUAUUUUGUUUUCGAGCAUUUUCUGAGCUUUGCUUUGAUGUAAAUUUCAGUUGGAAGAUGGAAUGAGAAGUUAAUACAUGGCACCAGACAUAUCCGAGUUUCCUUUAUUUUCAUCUAUUUGUGCCUUAGAUCGUAUGAAUCUUUGUGUAUUCUAGCUAAUUUUUAGUUUUGAACAAUGGAAUUCACAUAGUUGUACUUAAUUUGGGACUGUUGAAGUGAUGUCAUGUUAAUCAUGUUGUGAAUCGGCCUUAGCCUUAGAUAAGAUGACUGUUCAUGCUUGAUAAUGGUUUGUGUUCGAAAUGUUUUAUAAUAGGCUAAGGGUAGUCGUGAUCUUGUUUGAUGUAUUCUUAAAGGAUAUAGGAGUUAUUUUAGUUUAAAAAUGAUGUAGAAGUUGAAAUGCUUAUUCAGUAUGUUUGAAUAUGAAAAUUAAGGAAUGAGAAUGAUUAUUUAGUUUUCAUGGUUUUCAAUAGUUGCAAACUUUUAUGAUUUCAUUGAUUAGCAUAUGAAUGUGUUUUAAAUAAAUAAGGUUUAAAAAAAUUUCAGUUAGUUCUAAUCAGUUGUUCGAUGCACAACAACUGUUAAUUUAAUCUGACAGCUUUUUAAAGUCAAAUUUAAGUUUGUAUAAUGGGCCUCAUAGUGUUGUAAGGCCUAAAUCAUGUAUGGUUUUCGCUAGUUGGUCCAUUUAAGUUUAAAUUGAGCUUUGGAGUGUAUUAUCAAAGGUUCAUCUCCUCUGAAGGGACUCGACCUCGGAUCUCUGUUACCCAAUAUAGAUUAUGAACCGGACUUGGGCUCAUCACAGUUUUGGGGCUCAAAGCAUCUACAACGCAAGUGGGAUUUUUUAUGUUAUCAUUGGAUGUUAGUCGCCGGUUUUGACUGUUAAGUUUUGGUUUAAACCUUUGCAUAAGAUAAACAAAUCUCGACUCUUCUAAUGUUUAGAUAAUCAAGUCUCUUAAAUUAGUGGAGGUGUGCCAUAUUAGAUAACAUAAAUAGUUUAUGGCCCUUCAGCUGUAGUUCUAAUUCCCUUGUAAAAAUUGAAAUUGAGGUGCUGUGCGCCAAAUAAAAUUUCAAAUGCGUGGUCCUCAUUUAAUUAUUUCUUUUAAAUACUUAGAACUCGAGGCGUGCCGUUUAGCAAUUAUUUCCUGGCCCUCGCAAAGUUAAAAACGUGUAGUUGCUUUAGGCGUGUUAUUUAAAUAAUUUACCUUCCUAAAUUCGGGUGCGCAUUUCAUGUGACACAACUCCAAUCUCACAACGUUAGAUAAAAUAUGUCUCGGACUGCUUGUGCAUUUCAUGUGGCGCGGUCUAAAAACAUAUUCUAGAUGAUGUUGAAAUCUUCUUAAAAAUAAUUAAAUCAGUUAAUAAGUUUAAAAUGCAUCAUAGGCUAAAACAUGUACUAAAAUCAGAUAAUAGGCUAAUUAUGAUAGUUUAAGCGACCAUGCUAGAACCACGGAAUCCGGGGGUGCUAACACCUUUCCUCAGGUUAAUGGAAUUCCUUAUUCAGAAUUUCUAGUUCGCAGACUUUAAAAAGAAAGUUGAAUCUUCCUCGAUUUGAGAUUUUAAAAUAAACAGGUAACUUGAGACACCAAAAUAAAUUAUUCCAAGUGACGGCUCUGAAUAUAAUGAAUAAAUGAUCUAAUUUUGGAUAAUAUUACUUAAAUUGAAAAAAUUCCCUUAUACACUACCUUUCGGGGAUGAUGUGUGAAAAAAAGAAUUGUAACAAUAUAAGUACACAAUUAUUUUAAUACGACGGUAAAAAAAUUAAUGUGAAAACUCAUAAAUUAUGAACAUCAUGAAUCUGUGUUAUGUUGAGAAUGCAAUUGGCUAAAAGAUAAAAAGUUUGGUGGAUCUUUUUUUAAGAAGAUUUUUUUUAUUUGACACAAAGAGUUAGGUAAAGCAAAAAUAAAAAUAAAAAGCUAAAAUCAAAGGUCAACAUGCAAAAACGAAAUUAAAAAAAAGUAAUAGUGGGUUAAGAAAGUAUGCUUGAGAAAUAAAAAAUAAAAAAGACCUAAUUAAUUGAGGGAUAUGUUUAUUUAUUAAAAAAAAGGAAGAAAGUAGUCUUGAAUAUAAGAAACUAGGUUGGUGCAGCUCAUGCCAGCGCAGACCCAAUAUUAUUUAAUUUUGAACGAUGUCUAAUUGUAGAUAAAUUAAUGUUGCAAGUAUCGAGUACACAACAUUUCAUGCUAAGUAAUACACACAUAAUUUAUAUAUAUUUUGACUAAAAUAUACAUUAUUUUUGCGUCCACAGGAGCAUUACAUUAAGGGAUGUUUAAAGUGCCACAACAUUUACAACAUACAUAACAACAUUAUUACAUAUGCGGUAUACAGCAACACUAUUUACAUAAUCGGUCUUUGUUUUUUUUAUAUAGUUCUUGGACAAAGAUAUCUGCAAACAAAUAAAUUUUUAUGGUAAUUAGUGAAAGUUAGAGUACAUAUGAAACAAAAAAUAACUUAAAUAAAACAAAGAUUACACUAACAUGUUUGGUGUAAUCACGUCAAAACAAAAUAGCAAUGUUAGGUGGAACCAUUUUACUUAAUUGAAGUGACAUGAAAGCACAAUAAUCCAUAGAUAUCAGCAAAAAAAUAAUACAUAUGAAUAUCUAUUCUAGCACUAUAUCAUCUUCAAAUUCAGUGUGUAAUUUUUAAAUUAGCUUUCAUAAUCAAUGCUUCUCAUACUUGCAGAUAAGAUUUCUAUUUAAAGUAUUGUCCUCUAUCACGUUUAUGACAAAUAACUAAUUGAAAAAGAUAGAGGCAUGCAGUUCAGAUAUAUGCUUUAAGAGGGAUUAGAUUUAGAAAAGUAUAAGAGCUGAAAAAGUUAUCAGACAAAAGGAUAAUAAAAGAAGCUAAUAGAAGGCACAUAUAUAUAUAUAUAUAUAUANNNNNNNNNNNNNNNNNNNNNNNNNNNNNNNNNNNNNNNNNNNNNNNNNNNNNNNNNNNNNNNNNNNNNNNNNNNNNNNNNNNNNNNNNNUAUAUAUAUAUAUAUUAUAAAAGAGUACUGUUGAUCUUCCCAAAAGCUUAUAAUGAUAUUAACCUAGAGGCUAAGAUGGAAGAAAAAUCUACAAAAUUAGAAAAUUAUGUAUAAAUAGGGUACUAUGAUGUGAUAGAAAACCAUAUAAGAAAGAGAGGCAGAUUUGAGUAGUAUAAAUUCUGAAAUCCCUAAUCCCCUGCCUUAUUUACAUUUCCCUGUAUUCCAUAAAAUCAAUACUUAUUUCUCUAGAUUUUUUGAACAUGUCAUUUACCCAAGUUUUAUCACUUAACCGUGAUAAAUUAAUCUUACCUCCAUUUAUAUCUGACGUGAGCAAAUUAACAUGGCUUAGUACGUACACUUAUUUUCUCUUUUUACCUUCUGGUCCCAUUAUUCUCUUCUUCCACAGUACAUUUUGAAGUUGUACUCCAAGGGUUUAUCUCGAGCUCGAGUUUGUAUACUUAUUUUCUCUUUUUACCUUCUGGUCCCAUUAUUCUCUUCUUCCACAGUACAUUUUGAAGUUGUACUCCAAGGGUUUAUCUCGAGCUCGAGUUGUGGCCUAACUGCAUUUCUACAAAAACACCUAACUUUCCAACAGAGAUGCACAGAACAUGGAAUUUAUUUAACAUAACAAUGCCCAUGUGCAGUUAAAUUUACUAAUUUCAUCAAUAAUACUUAAGAAUGCACUUGUCUCACCAUCCUGGUUGACCAAUCACGUGAAUUGGUAUUGUAAGCCCAUGCUAGUACUCCAUAUCUAGCAAUACUUCUUUUUCUUCACAAUUUUCCUUAAAAGCAGCACAUUAGCAUACAAGUUAGUCAACAAAUGCCACAGACGAACGGGAAGGAACAAACAUGGAAGUAUUCCAUUAUCAUUUGCAGAAAUAUAGGAGCAAGAAAAGGAACAAAAUAUUUCUUUUACUUCUUUAAAUAUCUUACUGUAACAUACAUCAUUUUCAGGUGUCCACUGAAUUAAAAUUAAAUUAAAGUUGAGUACCGUAAGACAUACACAACUUACAUAUUCAAAUAGGUCGUGAUCAACUCCUAUCCGUAGUCUGCAUUUGGGAGUUUGAAGAUAUAACAGGAGAAACAAACAAGAGUAGCCAACAUUGUCCCGAAGACUACUAAGAAAGGGGACAUGUGUUUAGUCUAUAAAAUCUUAAAGGCAGGUUUCUAAAGUGAGUUAAAGUGAACCUUGUCUUCUUUCAUACUGAUCUUAUGAGUAGAAUUGAGUGGUAAUUUAAGAUGAUAAUACCAAAAAAAUUAGUUUUGCAGCAAAAGAUCAAUCACUUUGCGAAUUUAAUGCAGAAGCUCAUAAAAAAUAAUAAAAUUUGUAGGAUUUUGAGGACCUCUUUUUAACCGAAUACUUUGCCCUCCGGGGAUAGUGGUGAGAUUUGCGUAUAAACUACCCUCUCCAGACCCCACUUAUGGGAAUACACUAAUUCACUGGGUUCCUUAUUGUUUUGCAUUGAAUUACAAAUGAAUAACUAAGAAGAGAUUUGUUGCACCCUGAUCACUUACACUACAUAAUCGAUAUGGCUUUGAAGAAAUAAUAUGGGAAAAAGAAAGUUUAAAUUUGUAAUCAAAUAUAACCUUGUGUUGUUGUGACAUAUUCCGAGUAUAGGAGCGUCCAGAAAGCAAGCGCAUAAGUGAGUUUAACUGCAUUUAAAAAGAGCAAUACUAAUAUGGGAUGUUAAUAUAAUUUGUAGAGUAAAUUUUAUCCAAGAAGACAACACCAUACAUGUUGCAACAAUAAAAUUUGAUCAGCAUGCACGUAAGGAGACUGCGCAAAUAAUAAGGAGAAAUGCUAUCUUUUUGUUAGCUUGAUAUUUUUUGAAUCUCUUCAUAUUAAAUUAUAUUGAUUCCUUUUGUCAAUAAAUUAUACCUUCUUCUCUAUUUUUCUUUAUGAGAGUAAAGCAUAAGAGAACAUGUCAAAUAUACUAUCAGAACCUUUUUUGAGUAUUUAACUCAGUUAAUUCUGUAAGAUCAAUAAUGUCAUUGAAUUUAAGCACAUUUCUUUUUAUAACAAGAUCUGCAAAUAGGAUAAAUAAUGUAUUGGAAUUGUGUAAACUAAAUCUUGAUAGAUGAAAAUAAAAAAGAGAAUAAAUUGUCAUGCACAACAGAGCCGAAAAAGCAAAGAAGAAAUGGAGGUCUCAUAUUAAUCAUUCCUUUUUAUAACAAGAUCUGCAAAUAAGAUAAAUAAUGUAUUCGAAUUGUUCAAACUAAAUCUUGAUAGAUAAAAAUAAAAAACUUUAUAUGAAAAAAAGUAGAAAGGAGUAAUUUUUCUCUUUUUUAACUUCUUGUGUUGAAUAUAAAAAAUUAUGUAGUAUACUUGAUGCAUGCAAGUAUAAUAUUAUUCCAGUCGGCCUUCUUCUUUUCGAGGAGUCAAUCUAUCAUCCAUUAACUGAAAGAAUAAAAAUAUGCAUUAGAUAGACAUGCAAUGUUCAAGAAAGAUGAUCUUUAUCUUUCAUGAAGACGAUCUAAAUUCAAUGGUAUAUCUUGUAUAGUUUGAGUCGUUGACGACAAUUGUUGGGAAAGAAACAUAGAAGGCCAAGAUAUAUUGGUAUGGCACUUAAAGGCUAGCAUAACAGAAAUACAAAGAAAACAUAUUCAACUAUGUCAUACCUUCUAAGGCUCCUCCAUAAUCUCAUUCUUUUUAAGAAGCUUCCUUUAGCUCUUGUCAAUAGUACAUAACAAAUUGUGGAAUCUAGUUAGAAAAUUAACCUUAGCAAAAAAAAAAAGAAGAGUGAGAAGCCGAAACUAAGUAAAUAGUGACAUAAUAGUGACUGUAUUUCUAGAUAUAACUCCAUUUUAGGCACUUGAACAAAUAAUAACAUGUAUGUGAAGAUCCCACAAAGACAACAUGAAGAAAGACAAAAAAGAACAUAUUUGGAUUCAACAAUUAUCAAAAAAAAUAAAUACAGCACAUUAAAUUAAAAGGACCCAAAAAUGUACAUACGCACAACGAAUUAAAAUGUUGGAAUUGCAUGCCGCUAUCAUUGUUACUUUAUGGUACAGUGCUGAGAUGUUGGGUUUCUUGAAUAAAUCAAUUUAAAGAGAAAUUGAAUGCCAGUAACAGAGAAGAAACAUAAGACUAAAUUCACAAUAAACAAAGGAUAAAACAGGCAGAAAAAUCCAGAUCAACAAACAAUGGAAACUAAGAACAAGCAGAAGCAAAUAGCAUAGGGAUAACAUUAAGUGAUCACGGCGAGACCCAGUAGAGAAAAUAAUUGAACAGAGAAAGUUAGAGGGGAGGACAAAGCUGGAAAAAAAUUGGGUCAAGAUGAAAAUAUCAAAUAUGUAAUGCAGUUGGUGGCUAUUAUUCUGUGAAAGAAAUGUAAGUUUUUAUAGAUAAAAUAUCAAAACUGCCGUUAACCUAAUUAUUAUUGACACAUAAACAACCACGUCGAAAACACUGAUAGUAGCAACCACGUCAAACAGAAUCUAGCAAUAUAUAUAUAACUUUUUUAGACAACUAUGAUAUACCAUCUACUUAAUUCGCCUCCCAUAAGUAGUUAUAAGCAAAACAAAUGAGCUGGAGUUUUAGCUACUUAUGCACUUUUAAACUGUGUAGGAAGAGAGUCUGUCUGGUAGACUUUAAGUAACUAAUUAUGUUUGCUUUAAGUUAUGGACAUAUCGGCGCUGUUCGUUUUAAUGAAAAUUGUUAUAUGGAAUGACUUUGGAGUUAAUUCAUCGAAAAACAUGGUCUGUAACAGGUUGAACUUGUUCUGUUGUCUCUUGCUGAAUAUAGAAGAUCUAAGCACUCUUUCGCUAAAGCAUUACUUAUUUUUUCCUGUUGUCCUUUAAAGUUAUGAUUUUAUUUGCCAAUAUUGUCAUUUGACUGUGAUCAUGAUUUGUUUUAAACACAAAUUCAAAGAAAUGUUGGGUUCAUAGAAAUUAGUAACUAUUUCUUAAAUAAUUCCUUUAGAAGUGAGUAUUAAUAUUAUAGUAUUAAAGUUUUGUUAGCGUAGGAUAUACUUAAAAUCAAAUUGUCUGUUUAGCCUCUUAAAUUACCAAAACCAAUGAAAAAUUAAAUAUAUUGGUUAAACGGAAAAAGUAGUAUUAAGAGAUCUAUUACUCUAACUUUCACAUGGGCAUAACUAAGGUAAAAAAAAUUUAAAUUACACACUAUAAACAUGAAAUUUUAAAUACAUCAAUAGCUGCAUUCUGCUAAUUUACUAUAUCAGAAAAUAUAGCUGUACGACUUUCAGUUUUCUAAGAUAGCAGCACUAACUUCAAGCCAUAAAAUAUGAAUAAUAAAGAAUUUGAUUUUUUACCCCAGUUACCCACAUUUUAACACAUGAAACAAACCUAUACAAGUUAUAUUUACCAUAAUUCAAAACAUCAGUAGCACUCUUUUGACUUGAUUAUAUGAAGAACAACGAAUAUCUGGAAACACAGUGAUAUAUUAGUUUGUCUACUCUUAUCCCAUUUUUUAUAAGAUUGAUAACAUUUAUCCACUCUUAUCUCAUUUUUUAUAAGAUUGAUAACAUUUAUCCACUCUUAUCUCUACUUGUGUCAUCCUUAGAAAAAGCUCGAAACCUUAGCUCAUAGAAUUUCUAUUAAGGCCACACCAGAAGGAGCUCAUAGCUCCAUAGUUGGGUCUAAAAUAGCAUAUAAAGGGGCGAAAUUAUCAUUUCCACCUUACAUUUGUUGUAGGAACCGUUGCCACUGGUUUUUGUGUGUGAGUGCUAUUGCUUCUCUGGGGCAACAUGUUCAAUUUUUCGUUUACUUCCUUCUCCAAAUUCAUUGAUGGUGGCUGGCAUUUGUGAGAUACCUAAAUUAUCUUUGUCCAUGAAAGACAAAAUAACUAACUUUCCUGCCUCUGCCUCAUUAUUUCUUGUAAACAGCUUUUUUAUUUGAAUCUUGAAGAUCUUGCCAGUCAGUAGCUUUUGUGCGUUCACAAGAGGCAACAGUCCCUUCUGUAAAAAUAAAAUUAGUUAUUUAUGUGUAAGUAAUUAAAGCUGAGAUCAAGUGACACUAACUGAGAACAAUUGCUUAAAUUGUGUGGCAUAGAGCCUAUAAACCAAUUAUUCUGAAGGUAGAACACUUUCAAGCUACUCAUAGGAUCUUUAAAAAUACCAGAAGGAAUAAUCCCUGUGAUAUUAUUAAAACUCACAUCCAAAGUCUCCAAUUUCAGCAAAUUGGAGAAGGACUCAGGUAAACCACCGAUAAAAUUAUUGAAUAACAAGACCAUAGUCUUCAAAUUACUCAAUUUCAAGAGGGUAUCAACAUGCAACUUACCAGAGAAAUUAUUGUUGGAAAUAUCAAGAAACUCCAAAUUAGAACAUGCACCAAAGUUCUUAGUAACCAACCCUAAGAAAUUAUUGAAAAACAAAUCCAAUUCCACCAAAGUUUUACACAAAUCAGCAAGUUGGCUAGGAAAAACACCCUGAAAAUCAUCUCCUCUUAAGUAAAAAAAACCCUAGGCUUUCACUUGGUAGCUUAGAGACCAAUCCUACAAAUUGAUUAUUUGUAAGGUUGAGAAAAUUGAGCUUCUCACAUAAAGAAAGUGAAUCACAAAUAUCACCAUAAAACUUGUUGGAGGACAAAUCCAAGUGCUCCAAAUUAGAGCAAUCUUUGAAUGAAGGGAAACCAAUUGAGAAAUUAUUAGCAGAAAGAUCCAAAUAUGACAAAUUCUUGAAAUCCAACUCAGGAACAUUUCCAGCUAAUUUAUUACCCUAGAUAGAAAAGAACUCAAGCUCAACAAACCUCAUAGAUGACUUGGAUAUUGUUAAAAGAAAUAUCAAGAACUUGAAGGCUAAAGGUUGAAGCUUUAAGUUCUUUAGAAGGCGGGUCCAUUAAAUUCUUGGAAAGAUUAAGUGACUUAAGGUUUGAACAAGAACCAAAGCUAAAAAUAUCGGAAACAAGCCCUGAAAUUGUGUUUUUAGCUAGAUCUAUAGAGUUUAAAGAAACCCCACAUUAGGAUUUAGCAGCAGAAAUUAAAGAACCGCUAAGAUUAGCAUUCUUUAAGACUAAAGACUCCACAUUUGAGAGGCUAAGCAAAUAGGAAGAGACCAAAGUGAAGUCAACACUUAGAAAAGUGUUGGCAAGAUUUAUAGAGGAAACUUUAGAGUUUUUGCAUGAAACACCAGUAAAACUACAAGGGUAUGCAAAUGACAACCAGUUCUGAAGCUGAUACCUUAUACGUGACAGAUAUCAUAAAUCUCUUCCAAAGAGAGAAGCAAUAUUUUUUCCGCAUGCUCGUCGGCAAUAGCUGUUGUUGUAGAACCGCUCUGAUUUGUGAGCGUCAGUACAAAUUGUCACCUAGUUGUAAGAUAAAAUGAUUUGUUAAUUAAAAAGAUGAUGAAUGUAUAAUGUUAAAUGUAAACAAUUAUGUUGGAGUUGCAUAUAUACUUGGGAACCAACUAGGUCGCUCGACGAUAAUUAGCGCAAUAGAACUUUCUCUGUAAGAGAGCUAGUGUGAAGUGUUGUUUGUAGUCUGAACAAGUUAGGAUAUAGAAUCGUUGGUUCUCAUUUUGUAAUGCGACUUCAGCCUGUAUGUAGAAUAUUUGGCCCUGGAAAGCACAAAGAUGUUGCAUAUUAAUUUUUUGUUAUUAAUUAAAAAAUAAAAGGUAAAAAUUUGUAACAGUGCAUAUAUGAAUAUUUAGUGUACUUACUGGAUCUUGAUAUCGGUUUUUGUGCAAUUGGCACUAUCUCUUCUUCGAAAGGAAGAAAUAAAAGAGAGCAUGUUGCACUUGUACUCGCAAUAAGCAUUUGCUGAUUUUGUUGAGCCCUUCAAGUAUGUUAACAUUUCAAAAUUAGUUCUUGUACACAUUCAAGCACAUAUAUGACAAAUGAUGUACUGAUAUUGAAAUAAAUAUACAAUACCAUGCUUUCAACACAUUUGCUUGUGGGUAUGGAGGAUUGAUUUCAACUAUUGUACUGAAUCUGAAACUAAUGUAUUGAUAUUGCAAUAAAUCUACAAUACCAUGUUCUCAGCGUAUUUGCUUGUGGGUAUGGAGGAUUGAUUUCGAUUGUUGUACUGAAUCUGUUAGUCAAUCCUGCAUGCAUUUGAACAUUCAGUUCUAAUUUGGUCGUCUGGUAUAUGAAAAAAUAAAAUAUAAUUGCAUAUAUACUUUACCUGUAUUGAAUUUUUUACUCCAUCUUGCAUGCAUUUGUGGUGUUUUACCUGAAAACGACUUUGGUCUUGCAACUUUUUUAGCAAGGAUGAUUGGGUAUUCUUUUUUAAGUAGUUGGAGCAGUUUGUUCCCAUCAUGAUCAAUAAAAUCUUCCCAUAGUGUAAAUUCCGUUGGUUUUUUCCUGUAUAAAAUAAAACAAAAUUGUUAAAUCACUAUCUUAAACCAAUAUGGAAAUCUCAAUGCUUAAGUAGCACAAAUGAGCAUCAAUUACAAAAUUUAAAUGUUAGACAUGAUUAAAAAAAAGAACAAAUAGUGGUAUCUUAAUGUGUAAAAAUUUCUAUAAUGUAAUUGGUUUCGAAGAAAACAGGUAUUCCCUGAUGUCUUGACUAUUGGUCUCUAACAAAAGGUUCUAAAGCAAAAUAAUUUGAAAUAUCAUAUGUUCUCAAAGAGCCAAUAAGUCUCAAAUCUAAAAUAGAUGGUAGAAUUGCUUUAUGCUUACUAAAAGAUAAAUAAAUAUAAUUCACAACUUACUGUAGCAAUGAUCCAAUUAGUUCCAACAAAAAAGAUGUUUUAAAUAAGUUCUGAUAUUGUGAUGUAACUGUAUUAUACAAUGCAAGAAUAUGUAAUAGACAUGUUCGUGACAUUGAUAUGCUGCUUUCAUCUAUUAGAUCUUUCGGCAUUGGUAAUAUCUAUACAUUUGAAAUACAAUGCUUUUUAAUUACGUUUGUGAUAUAUAAAGUUUUAGUACUUAGGAAUCCAUAAUCGAAUGAAUACUUUGAAUAGAAUUUCUAUAAUCUACUUAGCUUUUCUUCAAAGCCAUUCAAAUAUUUAACUCAAAUUUCUUUUAAUUAAAAGCUAAUAUAUACAAGAUUGAUUCAUUUUAUACAAUUUGAGCAAAAACUACUAUAUUUCAGAUUCCUAAUAAGGGCGAGAUUAUGUGAGCGAUAAUUUGAGAUAAGUUAUCUAUUUUUUCGAAAACAUAUAACAUUAGAGGAGACAUGAAUAUUUUGGUCAAUCUUCUAUAAUUUGACUUAAAAUCCAAUAGUUAAACAUGACAUUAAAACGAACGAAUUUUUUAGCAACCAUGAAUGAGUGAACAGUAGGUAAACAAAUGAAAUAUAAUAGACACUAUUUUUAUUAAAGAACAACUGCAGAUAAAUCAGAAAGUCAUUGUUAAAGAGAAAAAUAAGCGACUAAAAAUUUAAUUAUGCUAUAUUUCUAUAUUUAAAGGUAUUACGUUUUUCUCUGAAUAACUCUUAGCAACAAUCUAAUUUUUUGGCGCAUGUAAAAGUAAAUAAAUUUUAAGUUAGCUUUUAAUAGCUUCUUCCUAAUUUGUGAUUUUGUCAUAAAAAAAGUUUUAUUUUUUAGAUCAUUACUUCUAACUUUAUUGAAGAACAAUUAAAAAAUAAAACAUAAUAGCUUCUUGCUAAUUUGUGAUUUUGUCAUAACAAAAGUUUUCUUUUCUAGAUCAUUGCUUCUAACUUUAUUGAAGAACAAUUAAAGAUUUUUAAAAUCUUAACUGAUUAUAUGCUUUUUUGACUCUUGGAUUGGUGUCUACUUUUAACCACCAAACAUCACCACUUCGGGGGUUAUCCCAAUAAUUGCGCUUAUAUGAAUCAAAAUACAUUGACAGUUUUAAGUUUAUUCUGAAAAAGCAUAAAUUAGUUGCAAAGAAGCUUAUCGAAAUUAAAAUAACAAAAUCAAAGAGCAAUAUGAUAUCAAUCCUAAUUUUACUUAUAUUCUUUUAGCAAAAGAAACAGUAAGAUAAGAACUUUGCAUUGUUGAGAAUAUAUUUAAAGAUAUGAUAAAAUAUUAUUAGUAUUAAAAAGGUAAAACCAUAUAAUGUAUAGUUGACGUAAGUAUGCUUUGCAAGAUUAUAAUUGCAUUAAAAGCAAAGGUGAAUUGAAGCGUGAAGCAACCUUUUAAAUGGUACAACCUCAAUCUAAAUUUCGAUUUAAUUUAUUGUGUGAUAUUGCUAGACAAUAUAUAAAAAGUGACACAUUACAUAUACUUGAAUCAUCAGUUGCUAGUUGGACCCAAUAAAACAGGUUUAUGUAUACUUACUGAUCACCCAUGACGAUGAAAUCUUGAAUUCUUUUCCCAUUUGAAGCUUAAGUUGAGGGACUUGCGUUGAGCAUGAUGGCAAGCACAUCUUGCGUUUAAAAAAUGACGAAUAAGUUAAUAGACAAUAAAAGUUAAUAUAGACAAUAAUCGUAAUAAUAAAAUAAUAAUAAUAAUAAUAAUAAUAAUAAUAAUAAUAAUAAUAAUAAUAACAACAAUGCUAAUAAAUGUGAAUCUUAGGCGAUCAAAUAACAUAAAUAGUUAAAUAUUCAAUUACCGAAUUAAGAUCCUUUGGUUUGAUAUUUGAAAUUGCCAAAUGGCGUAAGAUUUAAACGCGUUGGUGAAGGUAGUGGCUCUUUUGGAGGAUUAAUAGUUUCUAUUUCGGGUUGAUAUUCGAAAUUGCCAAAUGGUGUAAGAUUUAAGCGCGUUGGCGAAGGUAGUGGCUCUUCUGGAGGAUUAACAGUUUCUAUUGGCUCGACAAUGGUCUACCUAUUAAUUGUCCAUGUAAAUUUGUUAAGUGGAUUUCCAUACAUAUAGUUUGAUUCUUUGACAUGUGCAUCGGACACCAAGUAAGUAUAGGAAGGGCGAAACAGAUCUUCAAAAUGCAUUAUCUCCGCAUUGAAUAUAAUGCACUCCACUUGAUUUUCCUAUAAACAAAAUAAGGCAUAAUUAGGAUAAUACUAACUUAUUUACUAUUGAAAAAUUUAUGAAUUCUAUGAAAAUCACCUCUUCGUCUUACAAAAUCAUCAUCUGAUACUUUUCGUUUUCUCUUUGUUGUCUCUAGGUCUGCCUUUAUCAACUACUUGAACCUUACAGGUCCAUUCUUCUGUUUUUGGAGUAAUCGCAUUGAUCUUGAACCUUUCUGCCAUCUAGACGUAAUUUGCAAUUAUAAUAUAUCGCAAUAUAAUAAUGAGCAAACAUAAAAUUGUCAGAAUGAUUACAAUACAAAAUCAUAGAAUUCAAAGAGUGAACAAGUUGUGCGUUACACUUACUAUUGGGAAUGAUGAUCUAAACUACAGAAAACGUUUUUCGGUAAUUUCAUUAUAAACUACAUUAUAUGUGGAGCGAUCAUCAUCAUCGUCAAAUGUAGCCGGUCUAAUUAAUACCUUGACACAAUUAGAACCUUUGGCUCUUGAUAAACCAACGUACAACUGACCAUGAGAAAAUAGAGGUUCUCGCAAAUAAAUGCCAACUAAAUCUAAUGUUUGGCCUUGAUCUUUAUUUAUAGUCAUGGAGAAACAUAAUCGUAUUGAAAACUGUGUUCUUUUGAAUUGAAGGGGUAGUUUUUCGUCUUCUGAUGUUAAUAGUGGUAUUCACGGGAUGAACACAUGUAUAUUUUUAAAAUCACCACUGGAUAUUGUAGCACUAAUAAUAUGAGAUUUGAAAUCAUUACAUAUUAAUCGUGUUCCAUUGCACAAACCGUUGUAGCGAUUCAAGUUUCUUAAUAAUAUAAUCGGACAACUAUUCUUUAGACACAAUUUAUAAGGAGUUAAACCAGGAGGAUUUAAAGCGUGCAAAAAAUCUUCAAAUUCACUUUGAUCUUUUUGGAUCAAUUGUUUCAUCAGUAGCUAAAUAGAUUUUUUCAUCACCGGGAAAUUGAGCAACUAGCAUGUCAUUUAUUUCAUCAACGAAGUCGUUCUUUAUAGUUAUAAUUGCGCGGGAAGUAAUACAAGAAAUAUUUGAAUCAGUUAAAUAUAAAUCAGGAUAAGUAACUUCAAAUAAAUGAUUCAAGGAAUCAUUUUCAGUAGUAAAAGGUAUGAUCAUAGGACGGGGAAUUUCUAUUUGCUCUAAUUAUUUUUUUCUUUUCCAUUGCCAAUUCUCAUCAAAUAUUCACAAAAAUGUUGGGUCUGUUUUCGCACGCAUAUUUUCGGACAAUUGUAAUUAUUCACAUUGAUGCCAAAUUUUGGAGGAUAAUAAGCUUUCACAAACAAAAUCUUCCCUUUGUCAACCACGAACAACGGGAAGAGUUUGUCUAAAUUCGCCACUAAAUAUAGCAACCUUUCCGCCGAAUAACAUAGUUGUUUCCAUUAGAUCUCUAAGGAGCAAAUCUAGUGCUUAAAUCAUUUCUUUUUUUGCCAUUGAACUUUCGUCCCAUAUUAUUAGUUUUACAUCUCGAAUCAAUGAUGCCAGUGAACUUUGUUUGCUAAUAUUGCAACUAAAAUUUCCAUCAACAUCAAUAAGUAUUUUAAAUUGGGAAUUGUGACGACCCAAAGGGUCAUCACCGUAAUUCUCCAUUUCCUUACGCUUCUGAGGCCUUGAAAACUUCCUAUUUUGUUGCCUCAAUUUACGUGUGCAGUCCGAGCACGAAGGCAGAAAAAGUUUAUGUGGAAAUAUUUGAAUUCUGUGUUAAAAACUAUGAAUUUUGAUAAUAAUAUUGCUAUAAUUGACUUUGGUCAACGUUUUGUGUAUACGGACCCGGACCCAUGAUGUGAAGGUCCCACAGGGACCGUAAGGAAAUUGGGGACCCGGGCGUAUUCCCGGAAUCGAAAUCCGAGGUCCCAGGCCUGAGUACGAAACUUUUCUGUGAAAUUAUUUUCUGAAAAUGCUUAAGGAAAAAUGAAAAUGAAAAUUGAUCAAUCGGGCUCGUAUUUUGGUUCCGACGCUCGGUACAAGUCUUAAAUCAGCGUUAAGCGCUUCCUGUAAAUUUUGGUUGAAAACGAACGUCGUUUGGCGUGUUUCGGACUAAAAAUGGAAAAAUAAAAAGUUUUGAACUUUGAAAUGACAAUCAUGAGUUUUGGAGGUUGAUUCUUUGAUUUUGAUAUUAUUUUGGCGAUUUGAUCGCACGAGUAAGUCCGUAGGAUUUUUUUGAGGUUGGGUUCAUGUUCGGGUUGGAGCCCCGAGGGCUCGGGCGAGUUUUGGAUAGGCCACGAGUUUAUUUUUGGUAUGUUUGAAAGCUACUAGUAUGCCUGACCUGCAAUGUUCGCAAAUGUGAACAAAUGUUAGCAUUUGCGAACUCCCCCUUUGUUGCCCAGAGUUAGCAUUUGCGAACAAAUGUUAGCAAAUGCAAUCUCCCCCUUUGUAGCCCAGAGUUAGCAUUUGCGAACAAAUGUUAGCAAAUGCGAACUCCCCCUUUGUAGCCCAGAGUUAGCAUUAGCNNNNNNNNNNNAGACCAGAGUUAGCAUUUGCGAACAAAUGUUAGCAAAUGCGAACUCCCCCUUUGUAGCCUAGAGUUAGCAUUUGCGAACAAAUGUUAGCAUUUGCGAACUCCCCCUUUUUAGCCCAGAGUUAGCAUUUGCAAACAAAUGUUAGCAAAUGUGAACUCCCCCUUUGUAGCCCAGAGAUAGCAUUUGCGAACAAAUGUUAGCAAAUGCGAACUCCCCCUUUGUAGCCCAGAGUUAGCAAUUGCAAACAAAUGUUAGCAUUUGCAAACUCUGCAGAACCCUUCAUGUUUCGCAAUUGUGAACUAGUAUCUCGCAUUUCCCAAGCCUGCCGAGUUUGCAAUUGCGAAUAAAUCUUCGCAAUUGUGAUAUCUGGAACUCUACAGAACCCUUCAUGGUUCGCAAUUGCAAACUAUAUCUCGCAUUUCCCAAGACUGCUGAGUUAGAAAUUGCGAACAAAUCUUCGCAAUUGAUAUAUCUGCGACUGUGCAUUCUAUACUUAGACGAUUUUAAACUUAAUUUUUCAUAUUUUCAAAACUCAAACCUCCAUUGGCGAUUUUCUCUCGACUCUUUCUCUCCCAAACCAUUUGUAAGUCAACUUUUACUCAAUUUCUUCAAACUUUAACAUCUUUUAUCAUGAUUUCAACUUAAAAUCAAAGCUUUCAAUGGGUAACCUCAAUUUGGGGUCCGAUUUCAAAACAAAUUGCAUAUAUGAACUCGUGGGGGAAUGAGUAACCCAAUAUUGGUUCGAACCUCGAGUUUUGACCACGUGGGCUUGGGGACAUUUAUGGAAUUUCAUUCUUAUGCAUUCAAAUUAAUUUUACUAGCAUUUAUUGAUACAUUUGAGUAAAUUGUGGUUAGAUUCGACCGAUUCUUAGGCGAAUUCGAGGGGUAAAGCUAUUUUAGAGGUGUGAGUUGAGUUGGAAGCUUUCGAGGUAAGUGUUUGUUCUAACUUUGGCAUGAGGGAAUAGGAUUAGGAUAAUAUUUGCUAUGUGCUAUGUGGAGUCGGUGUAUAGGUAUGUUGACGGUUACCUAUGCGCCCGAGUCUAGCAUGAUCGUGAGUCAUAAUUGCUAUUUAAAAUGACGAUAGAAGUGAAAAAUUGUGAUGAUUACUUGUUAAAUGAACUAAAGAGGAAUUUUGGGUACUUUUUCCCUUGCCGGGACUUGUUGUUGAAAUGUUCUCCCUUGCCGGGAUGGUUAAUCCUGUUGUUUAUACCCUCUCCCCAUUAUUUAUGCUAUUGUUUGGGUGAGGAUGAGCGAUAUAGCACGAUGGGUGAUGCCGUGUAACUACUUUAUGCUAAUUAUUGGGUGAGGAAGAAUGAUAAAGCACGAUGGGUGAUGCCGUUUAACUACUUUAUGCUAUUGUUUGGGUGAGGACGAGCGAUAAAGCACGAUGGGUGAUGCAGUGUGACUACUUUAUGCUAUUGAUUGGCUGAGGAAGAGUGAUAAAGCACGAUGGGUGAUGUCGUGUAACUACUUUAUGUUAUUGUUUGGGUGAGGAUGAGCGGUAAAACAUGAUGGGUGAUGUCGUGUAACUACCUUAUGCUAUUGUUUGGGUGAGGAUGAUGGAUAAAGCACGAUGGGUGAUGCCGUGUAACUUCUUUAUGCUAUUGAUUGGUGAGGAAGAGAGAUAAGGUACGCUGGGUGAUGCUGUACACUUUAAUUGAUUAUCUUAGCGAGGACGAGAGUAAAAGCACGAUGGGUGGUGCCAUACAACAUUUGAUUUAUUGGAUUCCUUUUAUUGAUGUUAAUUAUACAGUUUCCAUUUCUUUGCUUGUUGAUUUUAUAAUUAAACCGUUAUACCCCCUAGCAUGUCCCCUCCCCAUUAUCUGUUUAAAUUUUGUUAUCUUUCCGUUAUUGCCCAUAUAUUUGUACAUGUUGAUUGUGAUAGGUUCGGUUUAGCCUCGUCACUACCUCGCCGAGGUUAGGCCAGGCACUUACCAGCACAUGGGGUCAGUUGUGCUGAUACUAUACUUCUGUGCCUUUUUGUGCACUAGUCAGGACACAGCUUACGAACAGCAGCAGUAGUUAGGGGGCGAUCCUUUCAGUCCCGAGACUCUGAGGUAGUUCGCUGGCAUUCGCGGGCCCUGAUUCUCCUCUAUCUUUUCCAGUGUGAUUACUUGUAUCAAACAGACAUGUUACGUAUUUCUUUCAGACUGUUGUUUUUUGUACUCUUUUAGCCGUCCGUGAGUAGUGACACUAGAUACUGGGUAGAGGCAUGUUGUUAAUUUCCGCAUUUUUUCAUCUCUAUUAUUGCUAAAAGUCUUCCGCACGUUUUAAUUAAUUAUUUCAGUAUUUAAUUUGUUUUAGAUUAAGUUUUUAUGAAAAUGAUUAAAAAGGUUGGCUUGGCUAGCUUCGACAGUCGGCGUCAUCACGACUCCCGAUGGUGGGAAAAAUCUGGGCCGUGACAGUAAUGAGCAGUUCGGCCUUCAGGAAAAAGUGAAACGGCAACACCUAAACUCGUAGUCGCUAAUUCUAUAAAUCCUCUAUGUCUAGCUAAUAAGGCACGAUAUAAAAAGCUUUUUCCAGUUCCGCCUGGACCAUCAAUGAAGAAUGCUCCGGGCUUAUUUGAAAAUAUUGUAUCAAGGAUUAUAUUGUAAGCUCUUCUUUGUUCAAUGUUUAGUUUAUAUGGAAAUAGUAAAUCUUGUUCACUAACGAUAAUGUUCCUUUCAAAAUGUACAUCUUUAGCUUCUUUGGUUGUUGCAGAUGGUUGAUUUUACCUUGAGUUUCUUUCAAAAUGUACAUCUUUAUCUUCUUUGGCUGGUUGAAUUUUGUCUUGAGUUAAUUCAAAUUCAUUGAUAUCACGACCCAUUGAAUGAAGAAUAUCAUUAAUAUGAUUUAGUACUUUGUGACAAAUUUCUCUUGUAUGCAUGUUUGGGUAUUUUUUGAAAUCUUCAGACAUCGCACUUUCAAAGUUUCCCCACAACUCUUUUGGAUUAGUUGGAUUGCAGUAAACUGAUAGUAUAGCAAAUAAGUGUCUCAAACUGUGUGGCAUUUGGUAACUUACUGCUUCUGACAUGCAUUCUAUUAAAUUAUUAUCACAAAGUAAUAAUUCUCUUUUUUCACAGCUUCUUUGAACGUGUCACAAGUUAUUCCAUUUACAGUUCGCAAAUCUUUAUACAAUUUUGGCCCUCUUACGUUCAUUAAGAGCAAUAUAAGAUAGUAUCUUUCUCCUUCGAUUGUAUGACAUGUCACAACUCUUCCAAGGCAUAUCCUUGUUGGCGAUGCGACCAUAUCUUAUAUGUUGUGGACCAUACAAAAUAUUAAGGAUAUUCCAGAUAUAAUAAAUUCAAAGCCAUAGCAUUUUCCACAGAUUAUCAAAAUGUUAUCCUCUAAUUUCCAUAGAUUUUCCUGUGUUUCGUCUUCUAUAAAUAGGGUAUGAAUUUUUUCCUUUAGUUGUUUGUUCAUCAAAUUCUUUUGUAAACUUAAAUUUGCAAUGACCGUUUUUUUCAUACAGGGGCUAGUUGGAUUUAAUUGACCGCAAGGACCAUGUAGCAUAUGUUGUGUAACAAGCUUAAAUAAAUCAGAGUUUCUUUUAGGAUCCUGUAAUUCAGCACAAAUAAAUUUAUCAUAUGCCUUAGGAGUUAGUAGUUUGUAUUUUUCAUCGAACGGUAAUUCAGCACAAACAAAUUUAUCAUAUGCCUCUAGAGUCAGUAGAUUGUAUUUUCCAUCUAGUAUAAUAAGAAAAUGAGCAUGCGGAAGUCCCCGUUUUUGGAAUUCUACCGUAUACAUAAAUGCUGCAAUUUUACCAAAUAUUUGUUUUUUUAAGUAUAUCAUUUUUAAGCUCUUCUAGAUUUGCUCGAAAUAUUCGACUAAUUAAGUCGGGUCUAUUUUGGGCCUCAUCUAUCGACAACAACUUUUUUUGAAUUUUAGGCCAAGAAGGAUUGCAUGUGAUAGUUAGAAAUAUAUCGAGUAUUCCAAAACGUUGCAGUAAUGCAAUAGCAUCCAUAUAUCGACGACGCAUAUCUCUUGGUCCUCCUGUAAAGCUAAGUGGAAGUAUUCUAUUCUUACCUACCUGUGAGCCUUCUCUCUCACCGCGACGUAAAAGAUCUAAAAGUCCUGCUAACACGCCCUUCCUGAAUAAAUCUUGAUUGAAAAUAGCAAAAUCUAAUCUUUAAGUUUCAACUUUUAUCCAUUUGUCUACAACAUAAGAAAACACGUCCAUCCUGAAUAAAUCUUGAUUGAGAAAAGCGAAAUCUAAUCUUUGAGUUUCAAUUUUUAUCCAUCGUCUACAACAUAUUGUUGAAAUAAUCGUCCUGAAUGCAAGAUUAUAUUUUCAUCAUCUCUAAUUUGGAAUUGAUAAUAAUAGUAUUCACGACAAGAAACUGUUUCUCUUUUUCGUUUGCCUUUUUGCAUCACUUCAGCUUCCAUGUCAAAAAAUCUAUCAAUUGAAGUCAUAUUGGUUGCACAUGGUAAUUGUUCGUAUUCACAACAAGCAUGAGUUUUAGAAGGGGUAGUUGAAAGCCUAAAUUUUUAAUACCACAAUGCCAACCAUUUUGACUCAUGUGUUUUAGAAGGGGUAGCUGAAAUCUUAUGUUUUUAAUACCACAAUGCCAACCAUUUUGAUCGUAAGGAAAUAGUAAUGGAUAUUUCAAUGGAUCAUAACACCCGUAAUAAUAAUUUACUAGUUGAAUUCUAUUACUUUUUGUAUAUAUUUGGAUAUGUGGUGUAGUAUACAAUUAUUGGUAUCUUGUUCUACCCAUAUUCAUGCCACUUAUGACGUAGUUGGUAGGUUGUAUAUACGUUGAUCAAGACCAGUAUCGCACUUAAGCGCAAUGUAGAAAUCGGAUAAUUGUGGGACAUUUAUUAAGGAUUUUAAAAACGUAGAAUAAGUAUUGCUUUUUAAUAUUUCCAUUAAAUUUUUCACAACAUCCUCGUUCAAUUUGUUGGAACAUGCCAUUCGAUUGCUCACUUCAUUUUCAUUAUCAUAAAAGUAUAAUUGUAGAUUUUUUCCUUUUUCAUUUUUUUGUAUCAAGUCAUUUAUGAAAUGAUACAUUUGUCCCUGAACUCAAAAUGUAUAAAUACCUUUAUUUCUUUUUGCCAGCUCUUUGUCAUACCUUACUCCCAGGGAUGUGAACACAAAUAUAUUAUUGUAUGUUCUUAUGUAGGUUUGAAAAUGCUUUGAUUCUUCAGUAUUUCCUAGGUACAGAUUUCUUAAUUCUUGUGGUACUUGAUGUGAAAUCAGCUUAACAGUGCCUUUGCGACAACAAAAUGCGGGUUGUUCGUAUUCAAGUUUUAUGGCUAUGCAAAAUUUGCAUUUGCGAACAUACUUUAACAUAACAUAAUCAGUGGUUCGUAUUCAAAUUUUGUGGCUCCGCAAAAUUUGCAUUUGGGAACAGACUUUAACAUAACAUAAUCAAUUGAUGGUGAAAUUGUUAUUGACUUUUCAGUAUAUUGUUCAUGAUUUGUGUUAGAUGUAGAUCUUGGGAUACAACAAUAACAAGUGUAAAUAUAUAAUUUUCAUAGUUAUAAAUGCAUAUACGUAUUUAUAAUUGCGUAUACGGUCAAGAAAUGAUAGUUUAACUCUCUAACCUGCUUUAUAUAUUGAAUAUCCCACAAAAGGAGGAUAUUUCUCACUUGAAAUAUUAGCACUCAUAGAGAAUGAUGUGAUAAUAGAGCUAUUAAUUAGCGAGCAGGCAGGAAGUUACGGCCAUUUGUUUGACCCUUACUUGCUCGUGCUCGCGCUAAGAGAGCCUCCUUUUUAUCAUCUUGCAUCAUUUUGUAUAAUUCGCGUCGCCUAGUCUUCUUGUCAGCAUGUAUUUUUCAGAGCUUUCAUUUUU